CACGCCGUAAACGAUGUCGAUUUGGAGGCUGUGUCCUUGAGACGUGGCUUCCGGAGCUAACGCGUUAAAUCGACCGCCUGGGGAGUACGGCCGCAAGGUUAAAACUCAAAUGAAUUGACGGGGGCCCGCACAAGCGGUGGAGCAUGUGGUUUAAUUCGAUGCAACGCGAAGAACCUUACCUGGCCUUGACAUGUCUGGGAUCCUGUAGAGAUACGGGAGUGCCUUCGGGAAUCAGAACACAGGUGC
rnacentral:rRNA from 1 species